rnacentral:rRNA from 1 species
ACGCACGCUGGCGGCGUGCUUAACACAUGCAAGUCGCACGGAAAGGCUCCAGCUUGCUGGAGUGCUCGAGUGGCGAACGGGUGAGUAACACGUGGGCAAUCUGCCCUGCACUCUGGGAUAAGCCUGGGAAACUGGGUCUAAUACCGGAUAGGACCUUUCUCCUCAUGGGGUUUGGUGGAAAGUUUUUCGGUGCAGGAUGAGCCCGCGGCCUAUCAGCUUGUUGGUGGGGUAAUGGCCUACCAAGGCGACGACGGGUAGCCGGCCCGAGAGGGUGAUCGGCCACAUUGGGACUGAGAUACGGCCCAGACUCCUACGGGAGGCAGCAGUGGGGAAUAUUGCACAAUGGGCGAAAGCCUGAUGCAGCGACGCCGCGUGAGGGAUGACGGCCUUCGGGUUGUAAACCUCUUUCAGUAGGGACGAAGCGCAAGUGACGGUACCUGCAGAAGAAGCACCGGCUAACUACGUG